GACGAACGCUGGCGGCGUGCUUAACACAUGCAAGUCGAACGGUAAGGCCCCUUCGGGGGUACACGAGUGGCGGACGGGUGAGUAACACGUGUGCAACCUGCCCUUGACUUUGGCAUAACAGUUGGAAACAGCUGCUAAUACUGGAUAUUCAUCGUCUCCUUCCUGGGGUGGGGUUGUAAGCUCCGGCGGUCAGGGAUGGGCUCGCGGCCUAUCAGCUUGUUGGUGGGGUAAUGGCUCACCAAGGCUUCGACGGGUAGCCGGCCUGAGAGGGCGACCGGCCACACUGGGACUGAGAUACGGCCCAGACUCCUACGGGAGGCAGCAGUGGGGAAUAUUGCACAAUGGGCGCAAGCCUGAUGCAGCAACGCCGCGUGCGGGAUGACGGCCUUCGGGUUGUAAACCGCUUUCAGUAGGGACGAAGGGUGACUGACGGUACCUACAGAAGAAGGACCGGCUAACUACGUG
rnacentral:rRNA from 1 species